GAUGAACGCUGGCGGCGUGCUUAACACAUGCAAGUCGAACGAAGCAUUUAGAACAGAUUACUUCGGUUUGAAGUUCUUUAUGACUGAGUGGCGGACGGGUGAGUAACGCGUGGGUAACCUGCCUUGUACUGGGGGAUAGCAGCUGGAAACGGCUGGUAAUACCGCAUAAGCGCACAAUGUUGCAUGACAUGGUGUGAAAAACUCCGGUGGUAUAAGAUGGACCCGCGUCUGAUUAGCUAGUUGGUGAGAUAACAGCCCACCAAGGCGACGAUCAGUAGCCGACCUGAGAGGGUGACCGGCCACAUUGGGACUGAGACACGGCCCAGACUCCUACGGGAGGCAGCAGUGGGGAAUAUUGCACAAUGGAGGAAACUCUGAUGCAGCGACGCCGCGUGAGUGAAGAAGUAAUUCGUUAUGUAAAGCUCUAUCAGCAGGGAAGAUAGUGACGGUACCUGACUAAGAGGCUCCGGCUAAAUACGUG
rnacentral:rRNA from 1 species